GAAGGUCAUUACUGAACGAAAUGGGUGGCAAGGCUGUCGCUGGCUCUAAUGAGCAUGUGCACGUCUUUUGCCGCUUGCUUCAUUCUAUUUUCCACCUGUGCACUCUUUGUAGACACUUGGGAAUGGGAGAGAGUUGGCAUCGACUGUUGACCCUCUCUUGAUAUUAAAAAGUCUGGGUGUCUAUGUGUUUUUUCACAUACACAAGUUGAAUGUCUAUAGAAUGAAAUUGUAGGCUUUUGUCAGCCUUUUAAAUGAUAAAAUACAACUUUCAACAACGGAUCUCUUGGCUCUCGCAUCGAUGAAGAACGCAGCGAAAUGCGAUAAGUAAUGUGAAUUGCAGAAUUCAGUGAAUCAUCGAAUCUUUGAACGCAUCUUGCGCUCCUUGGUAUUCCGAGGAGCAUGCCUGUUUGAGUGUCAUUAAAUAUCUCAAAAAGCUUGUGCUUUUUUGGCACGGGAAUUUUGGACAUUGGGAGUUGCCGGCUACUGAUAAAGUGGUGGGCUCUUCUGAAAAGCAUUAGUCGAGGAGCUUUGCACUCUAUUGGUGUGAUAGACUAUCUAUGCCAGGAGAUGCUUCAUGAUCCUCCGCUGUCUUAACUGUCUUUAUCAGACAAUAUGAUAAACUUGACCUCAAAUCAGGUAGGACUACCCGCUGAACUUAA
rnacentral:rRNA from 1 species